AAGUCGUAACAAGGUCUCCGUAGGUGAACCUGCGGAGGGAUCAUUACCAGAAGCCGCGUCGGCCGUGAGGUCGGCGCCUUCGCCCAACCCUUUGUGAACGAUAUUGAUUGCCUCGGGGGGACCCGCGCCCACACGGGCGUGGCCCCCCGGUGGCCCCCCAUAACUCUUGUUGUAUCUGCCGUCUGAGUCGCAAAUGCAAAUGAAACAAAACUUUCAACAACGGAUCUCUUGGUUCUG
rnacentral:misc_RNA from 1 species